rnacentral:lncRNA from 1 species
GUUCUUUUUAUGCGUCCUUCGGUUUUGCGCAUAUGUCAUUUUUCGUUUAUACACAUUAUGUGUUUGCGUCCGUCAUUUCUUGUUGGUGACCAUCACUUCUCGUUUAAUUGUAUAUAUCAUUAUUGUUCUGUCCAAACUCCGGUUUCAUUUUUUGUUUACCUUACACAUGAGAAUUUUAUUUGGAUUUCAGCUAUUAAUUUUGUAUUUGAUACAGUUAUUUUGUAAUAUUUUUCUGUUAUCUGCCGUUGUGUCGAAUUGAUUAAAAGAGCAUAAUCAGGCAACGCUUCA